UCAACAAGCGUGUUACGAUACGUCAGCAAACAUGGUAGACUCCUGGUGACAGCAGCUGAAUUUGUUGAUUGAUCGAGGGAAUUAAAAUGGUUCAUUCAGAAGAUAGCAACAUUAUUUUUCGGGUCAAAGGCCUCUUGGAGUUUGCCUGCCAGCUUGACAACUCUAAUGAUUUACAAAGUCAAAGCACCAUCUCAAAAAGUUUCCAGGGUCUCUGUUCUAAAGUGUCAUCAAAGAAUCUUGUUUUCACUGUCUGUAACAGUGCCUUAUUAAUAUGGCCCAACACUAGUUUCCAGUCAAGCAUAGAGAGCUUGACAGAAGCAUCAGCAUGUAGAGACAUUCUGAAGUAUAUAGAGACAGAUGAUAGCAGAAGCAAGAAGUUAUCAAAAAAGAAAGAUAAGAAGUGUUCUGGACCAACUGUGGUAAACAUGAAGCUGUUGUUUGAGGUGACAGAGCCUGCUGGCAGUGAAGCUCCUAGUCUCUGCAGAGUGAUUGGACAGCAGCACUAUGUGAGGAUGCCGCUGCCUUUGGACUUUGUUCUGUCUGUGCCCACUGAUGAAAGCCUGGCAAUUGUGUGUAAAGGGCUGGUGGAGGCAUUGAGUAAGCAGUUAUCAGACAUGGAGGAGGUUGUGCUACGGUACAGGAAGGGCUCCUCUUUUUUGGUGCCCCAGCCAUUUCACUUUGAGUUGCCCAAACCUGCGGGACUCACCACUGUAAUAUACCCAGCAGGAGUAGCAGACAGCCAGCUACAGGCUGUCAGAGAGGAUCUGCACAUGAAGUUUCAGUUGCCAGGUGACCGACCAUUUCUCAGACGUACAAAUGCCUUCCAUUUCCCUGACGAAGCCUAUAAAGACGGUUACCUCCGCAACCCUCACGUACACCUGAAUCCACCCAACAUUGAGGAUGCCAAACUGUAUCUUGUGCAGGGUGUGUACAGUUAUCAUCACUACAUGCAGGAUCAUGUGAAUGAUGACGGCUGGGGUUGCGCAUAUCGUUCACUACAGACUGUCUUCUCCUGGUUCCAGCAGCAGGGAUAUGUGGAGACAGCUGUUCCCACACACACACAGAUCCAGCAGAAUUUCUUCCUUCAAGACAGCGAUCAUUUCUCGCCUAGAAGCCCUUUCGCCGUCGAUAUACACGUGUCAGUGGGCGGAAUCUUCACGGCAGCGAGAAGACUCUCCGAUCCCCUGCAGUACUCCGGCAAGCUUCUCUCUGCCUCGCCGCUUGAUGCUUCGCUGGUGAACAGGUCUCAUCAUCCUUAUUCUACGCAGCGCUUCGGCAGAACUUCUUCAAAGGGUUCUCAUCAAAAAAUCCUCCAUGUGCAGCAAUGACAGCUUUGCAGAUCCUUGGCAUUCUAGCUGUCAGUUUGUCCAGAUACUCAGAAGACAUUUCACUCCCGCUUGUGCCUGUCACUUAAAUAUGGCACUUGCCAUAGAUUAGUCUUGUCGGGCACUUCUCACGCACCUUACAGUCUAGCUGAUCCUACAAAAGCUCAAUGGGUUUAAGAUCCGUAACACUCUUUGCAAUUAUCUUAUGUCUGUGUUUCUUUGCCCACUCUAAACUUUUCUUUUUGUAUUUCUGUUUUAAAAAGUGGAUUUUUCUUUGCAAUUCUUCCCAUAAGGCCUGCACCCCUAAGUCUUCUCUUUACUGUUGUACAUGAAACUGGUGUUGAGCAGGUAGAAUUCAAUGAAGCUGUCAGCUGAAGACAUAUGAGGCAUCUAUUUCUCAAACUAGAGACUCUGAUGAACUUAUCCUCUUGUUUAGUUGUACAUCUGGCCUUCCACAUCUGUCCUUGCUAGAGCCAGUUGUCCUUUGUCUUUGAAGACUGUAGUGUACACCUUUGUAUGAAAUCUUCAGUUUUUUGGCAAUUUUAAGCAUUGUAUAGCCUUCAUUCCUCAAAACAAUGAUUGACUGAUGAGUUUCUAGAGAAAGCUGUUUCUUUUUUGCCAUUUUUGAACUAAUAUUGACCUUAAGACAUGCCAGUCUAUUGCAUACUGUGGCAACUCAAAAACAAACACAAAGACAAUGUUAAGCUUCAUUUAACAAACCAAAUAGCUUUCAGCUGUGUUUGAAGUAAUGAUGUUCUAGUACCAAAUUAGCAAUUUAGCAUGAUUACUCAAGCAUAAGGUGUUGGAGUGAUGGCUGCUGGAAAUGGGGCCUGUCUAGAUCUGAUCAAAAAUUUAUUUUCUCAAAUAGUGAUGGUGCUGUUUUUUACAUCAGUAAUGUCCUGACUAUACUUUGCCACUUUGGUGAAUUAAAGUACCAAUUUCCUUCAGAAGCAGUAAAAUCUGUACAUUAUUACAAACUUUUGGCUGCCAGUGUGUGUGUGUGUGUGUGUGUGUGUGUGUGUGUAUAUAUGUAUAUAUAUAUAUUAGUAUGCAGUUGAAGUCAGAAGUUUACAUAACUUAGGUUGAUUACAAUUAGCCAAUUAGCUACUGAUAGGAGGUGUACCUGUGGAUGUAGUUUAAGGCCUACCUUCAAACUUAGUGCCUCUUUGCUUGACAUCAUGGGAAAAUCUAAAGAAAUCAGUCAAGACCUCAGAAAACAAAUUGUAGACCUCCACUAGUCUGUUUUUUCUAAAUGCCUGAAGGUACCACGUUCAUCUGUACAAACAGUAGUACACAAGUAUAAACACAGUGGGACCACACAGCCAUCAUACCGCUCAGGAAGGAGACUUAUUCUGUCCCCUAGAGAUGAAUGUAGUUUGGUGUGAAAAGUGCAAAUCAAUCCCAGAACAACAGCAAAGGACCUUGUGAAGAUGCUGGAUGAAACAGUUAGACAAGUAUCUAUAUCCACAGUAAAACAAGUCCUAUAUUGACAUAACCUGAAAGGCUGCUCAGCAAGGAAGAAGCCACUGUUCCAAAUCUGCCAUAAAAAAAGCCAGAUUACAGUUUGCAAGUACACAUGGGGACAAAGAUCACACUUUCUAGAGAAAUGUCCCUGGUCUAAUGAAACAAAAAUUUAACUGUUUGGCCAUAAAAACCAUCGUUAUGUUUGGAGGAAAAAGGUUUAGGCUUGCAAGCCGAAGAACACCAUCCCAACCGUGAAGCAUGGGGGUGGCAGCAUCAUGCUGUGGGGGUGCUUUGCUGCAGGAAGGACUGGUGCACUUCACAAAAUAGAUAGCAUCAUGAGGAAGGAAAAUUAUGUGGAUAUAUUGAAGCUAAAUCUCAAGACAUCAGCCAGGAAGUUGAAGCUCGGUCGCAAAUGGGUCUUCCAAAUGGACAAUGACCCCAAGCAUACCUACAAAGUUGUGGCAAAAUGGCUUAAGGACAACAAAUUCUGGAGUGGCCAUCACAAAGCCCUGACCUCAGUCUGAUAGAAAAUUUGUGGGCAGAACUUAAAAAGCGUGUGCGAGCAAGGAGGCCUACAAACCUGACUCAGUUACACCAGUUCUGUCUGGGGGAAUGGGCCACAAUUCCAACAACUUCUUGUGAGAAGCUUGUGGAAGGCUACCCAAAACGUUUGACCCAAGUUAAACAAUUUACAGGCAAUGCUACCAAAUACUAACAAAGUGUAUGUAAACUUAUGACCCACUGGGAAUGUGAUGAAAGAAAUAAAAGCUUAAAUAAUACUCUCUGCUAUUAUUCUGACAUGUCACAUUCUUAAAAUAAAAUAGUGAUCCUAACUGACCUAAGACAGGGAAUGCUUUCUAUGAUUAAAUGUCAGGAAUUGUGAAAAACUGAGUUUAAAUGUUUUUUGGCUAAGGUGUAUGUACAUUUCUGACUUCAACUGUAUAUAUAUACUGUAUAUAUACGUGUGUGUGUUUGUGUGUGUGUGUGUGUGUGUGUUUUGGCUUGCCAGGCUCUUGUGGAUGUAGGGGAUAAAGAACCUCAUUUUGUGGGCUCACAUCAGUGGAUUGGCUCCUUUGAAGUUCAGGCUGUCCUUAACCAGCUGCUGGGGGUCACUUCAAAGAUCAUGUUUGUCAGUCAAGGAUCUGAGCUGGCAACCAA